AACAAUGAGAUUUGGGGAUUUCAUUUUUCUAGAUGAAUUUCUCCCUUUGCUGAGUACUCUAAAGACUCUCUUGUCUGCACUCAGGGCCGUGGAAAGGGACCUUUUUUCUCACCAAUGAACAACACUUAGUUGACACGACCCUCGUGCCCUGAGGAAGUCGAAGCUCCUGGCAGCUUCUGGCACCUCAGAGGGAAGUUGGUCAGAGGUGGGUUCGCGCGCCCUCUGGUGGCGCCAGAGCUCAGCACAGACGCUGUUACUCAGUUUCUCAGCAGACGUGCACCCCCGCCUGGCUGCCCUGAAAUACCUAUAAAAUUCGAUAUUCAAUUUAUUCAAUGUAAUAAUUUUGGAAAUUCAAACCAAAAUGAAGCCCACCGCAGCCAUAUCCUUCCCAAAAAUGGUGAUGGAAGACUUUGGAAGCCAUGUAGAAUGAAAUGAAUAUAUACACAAAAUAAGAAAAACAAAAAUCUACUCAAAAUAGUCCAGAGACUGUAAUUUGAAAUGCAAAACUAUAAAAAAUCUAAAAGAAAAAUCUAUGUGACAUUGGGUUUGGUGUUGAGUUUUAACACACAACAUCAAAUGCCAAUUCAUGAAAAUAUUGAUAACACAGACUUUAUAAAACUAAGUAUUCUACUAAAAACUGUAUUCAGAGAACAAAAAGACAAGACAGACAUGAGAAGAUAUUUACAAAAUACAUACAUGAUUUAAAAACUGGGUAAAUAUCUGAACAGAUACCCAACCAAAGCAAAUAUACCAAUAGUAGGCUGGGCAUGGUGGCUCAUGCCUGUCAUCCCAGAACUUUGGAAGGCUGAGAUGGGUAAAUCAUCUGAGGUCAGGAGUUCCAGACCAGCCUGGCCAACGUGGCAAAAACCCGUCUCUACUAAAAAUAAAAAAAAAAAUUAGCCAAGUGUGCUGGUGGGCGCCUAUAAUCCCAGCUACUUGGGAGGCUGAAGCAGGAGAAUCACUUAAACAUGGUAGACGGAAGUUGCAUUGAGCCCAGAUCAUGUCAUUGCACUCCAACCUGGGUAACAGAGCAAGACUCCAUUUCAAAAAAAAAAAAAAAAGA